rnacentral:lncRNA from 1 species
AAAAAAAAAAAAAAAAAAAAAAAAAAAAAAAACUCUCCUUAAAAGCAAAACAAACAAAAAAUAAAAUCAAAAAAAAAAAGAAACAUAAAAUAAAAAAAUUGAUUAAAACCGAUAAAUCAUUAACCUUAUGUAAAUAAAAGUUGAUAAAAUAAUUAUGCAUAAAAAACGGUUAAAAAGAACCAAGUUGUGUCCUAUAUAAAAUUGGAAUAACAAAUUCAUAUAUUAUUAACAUAUGUAUAUUAUUAUAGAUAUCUAACAUAUUGCUAAAAGAGAAGUUAGUUAGCUGCGUAAAUAUUGUGCCCGGUAUUCUUAGCAUGUAUCACUGGAAGGGAGAAAUAGCAAAGGACAACGAAGUGCUAAUGAUGAUUAAAACAAAAAAAAAAUUGUUUGGAGAAAUUGUAAAUUGUGUAAAAAAACAUCACCCUUAUGAAAUACCAGAGGUUAUUGCUGUUCCAAUAAUACACGGAAGUAAAGAUUAUCUUGAUUGGGUAUCCAAUUCUGUCAAAUUAGAGAAUGAUGAAAACAAAACUUAAAUAUUAAUAUAAAUUAAUUUUCACAAAAUGUUCCAAUAAUUUUUAUUUUUUUAUUUUUUUAUUUUUUUAUUUUAUUUUUAUUUAUUUUUUUUUUAUUAUUAUAAUCUUUAAUUUUAUUACUUGCUCAAGAUUUUUUAUUUUUAUACACUUUCUUAUUUUCAUCACCAUUAUUAUUAUUAUUAUUAGUAGUAGUAGUAUUAUUAUUAGUAUUAUUUUAUUUUUUUUUAAUUCUCAAAUUGGUUUUAUUCCAUUUUCAUUUUAUUUUAACGUGACAGCACUCCUCUACUGCUUAACUUUCACACAACUUGUAAAAAAUAUAAACUGACAAAUUUUUUACAUGUGCUUAUACAGACAUUUUGGAAACGUACACAUGUAUAUAUAUAAGCGUACAUAUAUAUAUAUAUGCAUUUUUUUUUAUAAUACGAUUUAUGCGUAUACUUGUCUUUGUUAAAAAAUUGAGAAAUUGUUAUUUAUAUUAAUACAUUACCAUUAAGAGCUCUAUCAAUAUAUAUAUAUAUAUAUAUAUAUAUAUAUAUAUAUAUAUAUAUAUGAACACACUUAAGUAUUUAUUUAUAUACAUUUUUACUUUGUGUAAUAUGCACAAAUGUAUAUACAUAUACGCACCUACUUAUUCACU